GAGUUUGAUCGUGGCUCAGAACGAACGCUGGCGGCAUGCCUAACACAUGCAAGUCGAACGAGAUCUUCGGAUCUAGUGGCGCACGGGUGCGUAACGCGUGAGAAUCUGCCCUUGGGUGCGGAAUAACUUCUCGAAAGGGAUGCUAAUACCGCAUAAUGUCGUAAGACCAAAGAUUUAUCGCCCAAGGAUGAGCCCGCGUAAGAUUAGCUAGUUGGUGGGGUAAAAGCCUACCAAGGCGACGAUCUUUAGCUGGUCUGAGAGGAUGAUCAGCCACACUGGGACUGAGACACGGCCCAGACUCCUACGGGAGGCAGCAGUGGGGAAUAUUGGACAAUGGGCGAAAGCCUGAUCCAGCAAUGCCGCGUGAGUGAUGAAGGCCCUAGGGUUGUAAAGCUCUUUUACCCGGGAUGAUAAUGACAGUACCGGGAGAAUAAGCUCCGGCUAACUCCGUGCCAGCAGCCGCCGU
rnacentral:rRNA from 1 species